rnacentral:rRNA from 1 species
GCCAGCCCGCUCAGAAACUCAAAGGAAUUGACGGGGCCCGCACAAGCGGUGGAGCAUGUGGUUUAAUUCGAUGAUACGCGAGGAACCUUACCUGGGCUCAAAUGUAUGUUGACGUAUUUCUGAAAGGGAUACUUCUUCGGACAAUAUACAAGGUGCUGCAUGGUUGUCGUCAGCUCGUGCCGUGAGGUGUCGGGUUAAGUCCCAUAACGAGCGCAACCCCUACCUUUAGUUGCCAUCAGGUUAAGCUGGGGACUCUAAAGGAACUGCCUACGCAAGUAGUGAGGAAGGCGGGGAUGACGUCAAAUCAGCACGGCCCUUACGUCCAGGGCUACACACGUGCUACAAUGGCCGAUACAGAGGGCAGCUACCUGGUGACAGGAUGCAAAUCUCCAAAGUCGGUCUCAGUUCGGAUCGGAGUCUGCAACCCGACUCCGUGAAGUUGGAUUCGCUAGUAAUCGCGCAUCAGCCAUGGCGCGGUGAAUACGUUCCCGGGCCUU